rnacentral:rRNA from 1 species
GGAAUCUUGGGCAAUGGGCGCAAGCCUGACCCAGCCAUGCCGCGUGUGUGAAGAAGGCCUUCGGGUUGUAAAGCACUUUCAGUGGUGAAGAAAAGCCUGGGGCUAAUACCCCCCAUGUCUUGACGUUAUCCACAGAAGAAGCACCGGCUCACUCCGUCCCAGCAGCCGCGGUAAUACGGAGGGUGCAAACGUUAAUCGGAAUUACUGGGCGUAAAGCGCGCGUAGGCGGUGUGAUAAGUGGGAUGUGAAAGCCCCGGGCUUAACCUGGGAACUGCAUUCCAAACUGUCACGCUAGAGUAUGGUAGAGGGAGGUGGAAUUUCCUGUGUAGCGGUGAAAUGCGUAGAUAUAGGAAGGAACACCAGUGGCGAAGGCGGCCUCCUGGACCAAUACUGACGCUGAGGUGCGAAAGCGUGGGGAGCA